rnacentral:rRNA from 1 species
GCCCGCGGCCUAUCAGCUUGUUGGUGGGGUAAUGGCCUACCAAGGCGUCGACGGGUAGCCGGCCUGAGAGGGUGGACGGCCACAUUGGGACUGAGACACGGCCCAAACUCCUACGGGAGGCAGCAGUGGGGAAUAUUGCACAAUGGGCGCAAGCCUGAUGCAGCGACGCCGCGUGGGGGAUGACGGCCUUCGGGUUGUAAACUCCUUUCAACCAUGACGAAGCUUUUUGUGACGGUAGUGGUAGAAGAAGCACCGGCUAACUACGUGCCAGCAGCCGCGGUAAUACGUAGGGUGCGAGCGUUGUCCGGAAUUACUGGGCGUAAAGAGCUCGUAGGUGGUUUGUCGCGUCGUCUGUGAAAUUCCGGGGCUUAACUCCGGGCGUGCAGGCGAUACGGGCAUAACUUGAGUACUGUAGGGGAGACUGGAAUUCCUGGUGUAGCGGUGAAAUGCGCAGAUAUCAGGAGGAACACCGAUGGCGAAGGCAGGUCUCUGGGCAGUUACUGACGCUGCGGAGCGAAAGCAUGGGUAGCGAACGGGAUUAGAUACCCUGGUAGUCCAUGCCGUAAACGGUGGGCGCUAGGUGUGGGGGUCUUCCACGACUUCCGUGCCGUAGCUAACGCAUUAAGCGCCCCGCCUGGGGAGUACGGCCGCAAGGCUAAAACUCGAAGGAAUUGACGGGGGCCCGCACAAGCGGCGGAGCAUGUGGAUUAAUUCGAUGCAACGCGAAGAACCUUACCUGGGCUUGACAUAUGCAGGAUCGGCACAGAGAUGUGUUUUCCCUUGUGGUCUGUAUACAGGUGGUGCAUGGUUGUCGUCAGCUCGUGUCGUGAGAUGUUGGGUUAAGUCCCGCAACGAGCGCAACCCUUGUCUUGUGUUGCCAGCACGUUAUGGUGGGGACUCGCGAGAGACUGCCGGGGUUAACUCGGAGGAAGGUGGGGAUGACGUCAAAUCAUCAUGCCCCUUAUGUCCAGGGCUUCACACAUGCUACAAUGGUCGGUACAGUGGGUUGCUACACCGUGAGGUGGUGCUAAUCCCUUUAAAGCCGGUCUCAGUUCGGAUUGGAGUCUGCAACUCGACUCCAUGAAGUCGGAGUCGCUAGAAUCGCAGAUCAGCAACG